rnacentral:rRNA from 1 species
UACGGAGGGAGCUAGCGUUGUUCGGAAUUACUGGGCGUAAAGGGCGCGUAGGCGGCCUUCUAAGUCAGACGUGAAAUCCCCCGGCUUAACCUGGGAACUGCGUCUGAUACUGGGAGGCUAGAGUGCGGGAGAGGGAUGCGGAAUUCCAGGUGUAGCGGUGAAAUGCGUAGAUAUCUGGAGGAACACCGGUGGCGAAGGCGGCAUCCUGGACCGACACUGACGCUGAGGCGCGAAAGCUAGGGUAGCAAACGGG